rnacentral:rRNA from 1 species
AUUGAACGCUGGCGGCAGGCCUAACACAUGCAAGUCGAACGAGUGGCGGACGGGUGAGUAAUGUCUGGGAAACUGCCCGAUGGAGGGGGAUAACUACUGGAAACGGUCGCUAAUACCGCAUACCAUCGGAUGUGCCCAGAUGGGAUUGGCUAGUAGGUGGGGUAACGGCUCACCUAGGCGACGAUCCCUAACUGGUCUGAGAGGAUGACCAGCCACACUGGAACUGAGAAACGGCCCAGAUCCCUACGGGAGGCAGCAGUGGGGAACAUUGCGAAAGGGGGGCAACCCGGAGGCAGCAAUGCCGCGGGAAUGAAGAAGGCUUUCGGGUUUUAAAGUUCUUUCGGUAGCGAGGCGUUACCUACAGAAGAAGCACCGGCUAACUCCGUGCCAGCCGCCGCGGUAAUUC